rnacentral:snoRNA from 1 species
AUUGUUGAUGAAAAAGACUAUACCGAGUAGUGACGAAGUGGAGCGACACUGAGG